UGCCAUGCUCAGAGGUAACUAAGUCCAGGUGUGGGUGUGGGAAAAACCUCGCUGGACUUGCCGGGGCCCGGGGUGCUUUCACGAAACCACUCCCUCCUCCCCUGUUCCCCAAAGACCUGACUCCUUGGGAGGCCGAGUGUCAGAGCCGCGUGCGUAAACUGGGUCCUUUGUCACCUGGAGUCUGAAUUCCAGCGGCGGUUCCUCCCAGCCGGGCUCCAGCGGUUUUCAGGAGGCGGCCGGGCUGGCUUCACGCUGCCCGAUGCUGCCUCCUGCAGGCGGUUCUGGGGCACAGCCCUCACGGCCGGGCUCUGAGCGCCUGCCGCCCAAGCCCGAACGGUGGCUUUUCAUCACCUGAAGUUGUCAGGGCAGCUAAUAGCCCAUGAACGUGGAGAGAAUGAGGCUUCUCCAAGUGAAUCGGGUGUUGAAAGAUACUGUGAUAAAUGGUGGAGGUAGCGAGGGUGACUGAUGAAGAUUCAAAUCUGAAAUGAGAUGGUGGGGGUAGGGGUGAGGUGGCACAAGAAGGCACUGAUGUGGACUGCGACCUUGCCAUUUACACCGAGGCUCACGCCAAUCUGAGAGGCAGGUGUUCUGAGCCCCUGCUUAAUGAAUGAUGGAAUCGAGUCUUAGAAAGGUUAACUAACAUGACCACGGUUACACAACAAGUAAAUGGCGGGGCCAGGGCCUGAACUCAGUGACCCCAUAGCUCUGUGACAUCUGCUGUCCCAUCACCCCGUGCUAAGAGAGCAGAAGCCUGCCCAGGAGGAAGAUCUCUUUAUCUAUGGUGUGAACGGGGUUCUUUGGAAUGAAGAUGGAAUGUUAACAGCAUUCUCUUCACUAAGAGUUUUAGCCAUAGCCUCUGUGAUGGGAUUUUAGGGAUGCUGGGAAGAUCUCCCCACCUGAAAACAUCCCCCAACUUGCCCGUCACGUUGCCCAGAAUUUCACUAUAGGAGAGUCAUUCCCUUGAUUAGCAUUGGCUGCACGGUACUCUCUUAUUAACUGAAAACGUGAUUCCUGGUGGCGGGGGGCUGGAGGGGGGAGGGGGUGGUGGCGGUGGAGGGUGUCACAUGUUAAGCCCUUACAUCUUACCUCAGUGGGGAUUAGCUUGUCAUUGUUUUAUCCCUGUGAUAGAGAAUUGAAGGUGUGGGGAAAGUGGAGGACAAGAAUAUCUUUGUCCCCAACUACGUGCUUCAUCUUCUCCCCCCAUUAUGCUUCUUUCUUUGGUAUCACAUGGGCCCAGCCAUCUUCAAGGUGUCUGUCACUCCUCCAUCUAAUUGGUCGUGCAGUUGAACCUGGCUUACCUCUUAAGUGGUGCUUGAUUCUUUUCCUGUGCACACCCCCCAAGCUGAUCUCUGGUCAGAUUGUUUCUGGCUCGUUCCUGGCUCUGGGCCUUUAAUUGAACCUGGGGCAGCAGUAGAAGAGAGCUUUCUAGAAUGCAAAUCUGAGAAUGCUGCACCUCCUCUUAAGACCUUCCUCAUUGCUUAAGGAGUGCAGACUCCUUAGUAUUUUCUACCAGCCCCUCAGGACCUCAGUGCUACCCCUCUCUCUAGCACCAGUUCUGUCUCAUCUCUGUACAUUCCUCCUCCAUCCCAUUUCUGCUUCAUUAUCAAACACUUUUCCUUUGUUACCUCGAAUGUUCAUUCACAUCUUCAUGCCUUUGCCCACGCUUUGUUUUUGUCCAGAAAGCCUUUCCUCUUCGGUGGUCUCAGCUGGCCACUUCCUGGUGAAGCCAUCCCUGAUUCUCACUCCCAACCCCCCAGGAGGAGGUGUUUUUAUGUCUGUGUCUCCUCCGCGAAGCCUGGAUACAUAAAUGAAUGAGUGAAUGAGUAAAUGGAGUCAGCUGAUGAGUGGCCUGUCCGUUUCAAAGGAUUUUUGAAACGAAUACAAACCGUGGCUGCAUUUGUGAACGUUGCCGUGAUGCACGGAACGUGUAUGUGUGUGCAUUGGUGGGCUACAAUGGCUCUGUUAUGAUAAGUGAUUUGAUGGGCCUUGAACUUACUCACACAAGCAGAAUAGCUUCAGAACAUUGCCAUGGAGACAGAUGAGGCCUCAAGCAGCAGGGUACCACUUAGGCAGUGACAGAUUUUACAGAAAAUGGGCUUAGAUACACCUUUCUUGUCAAAAAACAAAAUCCCCCAGCUAAUGGGAAGAGUGCUUCAAGGCAGAAUGAAACCUUGCACCCCAACGAAUAAAAAGCCCCUGAAGUUAGGAAAACAGGAAGUAACAGGGUAGGAAGAAGGUAAAUUCUUAACGAUAGACCUAGAGCAAAAGACCAAAAAAAGAGAGUGAGGAGGCUGAAGCCCUACCAUGAUGUUGGAGUUCCAGAUGUUAUCAGAAAAUGAACAGAGGAAGAAGAUGUUUCAAAUAUAUAAUUACGUUAAAGAAUAUGAGGAGGGAAUCCUGUUGUGCGGUGUGAUGAGGUAUCACAGAGAAUAUUCAGGACUGGAGAAAACUUGUCCCUGGGGCUUUGGCAAGUUAUUAAUCAUUUAUGACAUAACUAGAACUAACAUCUUCCAAUUCUCCCUAAUCUGUAGAGAAUGACCUUUCCUGCCCGGUCGAAAUGUGUUCAUUCAAGGACUAGUUCAAGUGGCGCCUCUGUGAGUAAAGCCUUUCCUGAGUCUCCAGGCAGGGCUAAUAACUUUCUCGAUGUGGCUCCUCGGGGCUGCUCUUCUCUCUGUUUAUUGCACCCACCACUCUGACAGUUGCCAAAUGAUUGUUUUCUAUUUCCAUCAUUCCUUCUCCUUCUGUUAAUUGGCAGGUUACUCUAAUAAGGAGCUUUCCCAUUUUCUGUGUUUGUUUAUAGAUUUAUUUUAGUAAGGGCUCUCAUUUUAUUCAGUAGAUUGUAUUCCGUUGCCAACCUUGUGUAUCCUGAUACUCUGACCGUCUCAGACACGGCCAGUGUUCCUUCCAGGAUGCUCCCACAUCCUUCUGACACGCCCCCAUCAUCUCAGCACUUGUUGGCAGUCUGAUACAACAACAUGACUCAGAUUCAUCUUGUACUUUUCCUGCUGCAGCCUGGAUUACCCCUUUCUCCAGGGAGAACUGCUUCCUUUCAGUGGAGGAUGGUGUUUAGGAAUCAAGAUCUGGCCACCUAGUGUGUUUAUUGUUAGUGGGGUGUCAUUGCUUCUAGACCCUUUUGGUGGAGGGAGCUAGGAAAUACGUGUAUGUAUAUGUACAAAUAUGUAUAUACACAUACUGGAACUUGUAGCUAUUUCCAUAUAUCCCUGUAUUUAUAUACUUAAAAAAAUAAGCUGAUGUUUAUACAUCCAAUUCCAUUCCAUGUUCAUGGUUCUUUAUAGUUCUCUCCCUCUUUAUGUUUGCAAUUCCUUUCUCAACCUGGCUCUCAUUAUCCUCAAUGUGUACCUGUUUGCUCAAUACGAUUACUUAUUUGCUUAAUACAAUCAAUCUCCCAAUCAUACCAGCUGUAUCUUUUACCUCCACUCCCUGCCCCCACCCUCCAGCAUCCAGUGUCCUUGGGCACCAGUAGGUAUGCCAUCAAAGGGCCUCCACAGGGAAGCCCUCUCCUGCCGUCAGUACCUGGUGGGGCCAUGGUGCUGACUAUUCCAUGCCAGAAAGGGAAGAGGAAAGGAAGGAAAAGGAAGAAAAAGUCUGUGCUGAUUGCUUAACUGAAAGCUAAAAGGAGGGAAAAAGAGAUGCCAUUUCACCUAAUCAGCAAGUGCUUUAUCAAGUAUUGAUUAGUAAGAAAGCACGGAUGGAUGCAUAUGGCAUGUAUGAACUGGUAAUAAAUUUUGCUUUAAUAAAUCAUCCAAUUAUUUAUGUUUAAACACAUUGUUGUUGUCCCUGUCUUCACAAAUGCCAUAUAACCUUGUAGAUGGAGUGGAAAACGUAAAAUAGCACUGAUAGGUCAAAGAAACGUCCAAAGGGCAAUUCACAGUUGGUACAGACCUCAAGAUAGGGACUUCUCUUAGAAUUCUGUAGACAAAGUUAAAAAAAAAUUAUCCUCUAAAGUUGAAACCCACAACAAUCAACUUCAAAUGAAAUAAGAUUAACAACCUUUGGGCGGAAUCAUCUUGGAAGAUAACUUGUAAUUGUCUACUGGAUACAACCAGGGUGCUUUCCAAAUCUCCGCCAAAGAGACUGGAGACCCUUCCAAAACCCAUCUGUGUAGUUACUGAUUUACCACCAGUCAUGUUGAUGUCUACCAGGUUUCUUCUCUGCAAAGGUAUCAUUUCUCUCUUUGGAAUUCUGUGUUAGUCUGCUAACUACUGGGGGAUAUAACAGGGAAGAAAACACAGUACUCAUGCUCGGCAAGUUCAUGGUCUGAUUGGAGAGACAGACCAGUAACCAGGCCAUUUCAGUACAUGGGCUAAGUCCCUUGAGAGGAGUGAGCACCCAGCUCUGACUUCGUGGAGGAUAUAUGGAAAGGUUUCCCAGAAGAAGUGCCAUCUAAGCUGAGAUUUGAAGGACUGCUAGGAGUUAGCUAAGAGAAGGGUGUGGGAGAAAGGCAGAAAGGAGAGAAUAUCAUAGGAUGAGGGGCCACAUGUUCUAAGAUCUGAAAAAAUGAGAGAGCAUGGAAGGCUUAGGGAGUGGCAAGUGGCUCAGUGUGGCUGGAAUACCAAAUUUGCAGGGGAAUGGGGGAUAUGAGGGAUAUGGGACUGAGGAGCUAUGUAGGGCCAGAAUCACCAGAGGUCUUGGGACCCGUAUUUUGGCAUCGGACUUCAUCCUAGAGAAAAGGAGACAUCCCUCAAAGGUUUUAGGCAGGUAUGUGAUGUGAUCAUAGUCCCAUUUUAGAAAACCCCUCUGGCUGUGUGCAGUGAGUUAGUCAACUUGAGGUUAAGGGCACAGUCCCCACAAGUCUGCCCUCACUUCAGACACCAGCCCCAGGUUCAGGGUCCCCAGGAUCACCUUUUCUUCAUAGCAUCUGGCUGCAAAUUCAAGGGUUCUCAUGACUACCCUCACAGUUGAUAAUCUGAUAUUUAGGAAAGUGUUAUACUUAGGAGUACACUUUUAUUAUAAUAAACAGAUAAAAAUUGGACUUAGUCAAAGAUAUAAUUAAUUGGAAUCAGGAGGGUUCCAAACAUGAAGCUUCUAGGCCCUCAGGAUGCAUUACUUCCCAGCAUCUCUACAUGAAUAGGCACAAGUAUUGCCAACCACGUUAGUUCAUGCAAGCUUUAGUAAGGGAGCACUGUCAGGGUGGAGCCCAGCGUGGGACUCGAUCCUAUGAACGAGCCCUAAUGACUGUAGGAUCAUGACCUGAGCUGAAAUCCAAGAGUCAGACGCUUAACCGACUUAACCGACUGAGCCACCCAGGCGCCCCUAGAGUUUUUAUUGAGGCUUCAUUACCUAGUCAUGGUUGAUUGCAUAAUAACUUACAUGGUUGAACUUAAGCUCCAGGCUACUUCCCCUCCCUGAAGGUCAGGCUGUCACAUGGCCCAAAGGCCCACCCACAAUCACUUGGUUGGUCUUUCAGACUCAGCCAGCCCCACUCUGACUCAUCUCAUGAGCAUAAAUGAGGGCCCAACGUUGAAUAACAAAGACACUCCUCUUGCUGUGAAAAUUGCUAGGAACCCAGACAAAGGGUAGAUCUUUAGGUGACGCCAAAUUUCUUACUGUGCACUGUGGUGUGGCGGUUAGAUUGGAUGAGAGUUAAGUCUGAAAACAGGAAAACCAAUUAAGUGGUUGCUGCAGAAAUCCAAGAAAGAGAACAUGAUGGCCUAGACCCAGGAAGAACAGAGAGGAUGGAAAAAAGUAAAGGGGUUUUGAUACAUUAAGAAUAGAAUGUCAGUACUUGGUGUUUGGGUAAGGAGGUUGAGGGCUGGGGAGGAGACAAGGACUAUGGCACAGGUGUCCUGAGCAAAUAGCUGGUUUAGGGCUGCUGUUUGCCAAUAUCUCUUGGCUUCUUGUUUUCCGGAUCAAUCAGCCUAGCACGAUGCUUGGCACAUAAUAAACAUUUAGCAAAUAUCUGUUGAGUUAAAAAAAAAAAAUGAAUGAAUGGUCCCAUCUUCCAGCAAAAGAGGAAGAGACUGCUGUAAGGGUGCAAGCCAUGUUCAACACAUGUUUAUUGUGCCCUUCUGAACUAGGGUCACAAAUUAGCUCACCCAGUUUCUGCAACUGGACAUUUCCACCUUCCAUGUGGGAUGUGUCCUAGGAUUGCUUAAGUAUGUGUGUGUGUAUGUGUGUAAUAAGGCGAGUUUCUUUGUAAGUUGUGAAUCUUACUGUUUAUUUGAAAGCUGGACACACAUUGUACUGUAUUGGAGAGCCUUGAAGAGGGGUAUGUGUUUGCCUGGAACAGAACUAGGAUGAGUGUUGAGGGGAACGUUCUUUCCCCUCUCUUCAUGUUUCCAUACAGAGGGAGUUUGAUUAGGGUAAUACUCUUGGCUUCUCUCUGUCCCUUCCUCUCUUCUCCCUAGUGGUUUAACAAUUUAAUGAGCUUGGGAAAAGGCACUGAGGGUACCUGGCUCAGUUUCUCCCUGACUCUCAGAAUCUGUCUGCCUCCAGAGAGUAUAGGUUAUCAUCAGCUUUCCGCUGGGCACUCGGCUUUGUGGAGCAGGCUCCACAGUGACUCAUCCUGGAGGCAGGGUUCGGAAGCCACUCUUACUGUGUACCUAAGUCACACUUCCUGGACCAGGUUUAGUAUUACUAAAUUCAUGGAGGAGGAAUGGUAUUUGUUUCACACUCUCUCCAACACUGUGCUCCCAGCAAAAGAGCGGAAGUCGCUUCCAUGACCUGUACCCCGUCCCCUGCCCUGAUUCCCUGGGUAUUGGUUUUAUGGCUCCCUUACAGCCUGAGUUCCUGUUUGCAUUAGCUUGGGCCGCCAUAACAAAAUACUGGGGAGCGUAACAACAGAAAUGCAUUUUCUCACAGCUCUGGAGUCAUUGGGCUUGGUUUCUGGUAAGGCCUCUCUUCCCAGCUUGCAGACAGCCAUCUUCUUGCUGGGUCCUCCGGACAUGGCCUGUUUUCUGUGCACAGGCAGACAGACAGAAAGGUCACCAGGAGCUCUUCCUUUUCUUAUUGGACCCCAGUUCUAUGGAAUCAGGGCCCUACCCUUAUGACUUCACUUAACCUUAAUUAAUUCCUGAAAGUCUGUAUCUCCAAAUAUAUUCAUAUUGGGGGUUAGGAUUUCAAUAUAUGGAUUUUGGUGGUGGUGGUGGGAAAUGUAACAGUCCAUAACACUGUUCUUUUAAAGGGCUCUCCCAUCUUCUUUCAUGAUUAGGACAUAGUUAUAUAGACUAUAUAUAACUGUAAGAAUUACUGGAUUGUAAUUUCAAACUGGUUUUAAGAACUAUGAGCCCGGUGCUCAAUAAUUGCUGUUCGAUGCCUUCAGGAAUGUGAUGCUUAGGUUUUGUGUAAUAUUGGUGUCAGUUGACUUUGGGCAUAACACCAAGGGUCAUGGAUGAUAUGUCGGCCCUUUGGAGGAUAGUAUCGGCUGCACCCAGGUGCAUCUGAGGAAUUUUCCGAUGCUGACCGGCGGGUGCUGUUUGUUAUGUCGCAAAAGUCCUCCAAGACCGAAUGGUUUAAAGCUGGGGGCAAAAAUCACCUUUAGAAGAUUGUUCCUGUCUUAUUCCCAUGUCAUUCCUGAAAAGUUCAUGCGGCUCAUUAUGGGUUGUUGUGGUGAUAAAAGGGGUGAGUUUCUGAAUUGGGAAAAAUACUAGUAUGUGGAAGGAAGGGCUUAAAUAUUUAAAACUAUAAAAUGUCAUCAAAGUUAUUCUGAUCUGAGCUUUAGAAGUCACCCCGUCUUCUCUCACGGUAUUGGCAGGCAAUGCAAUGUUGAUAUAGCUCCAAAGAACUUGCUAGCCUCUCUGGGCAGCAUCCUCUCUGUUGGAAGGCCACAGCCUUGGAAUGAGAGCUCCAAUGCUGGUCACAGACAGCCCAUGUCUUGGGACACAGCUUUAAGGGAGGUCUCAGUGGUGCCAGGUGACAGAAGCGAGAGCAGAGGCUGUGGAGCAGGCAGAACUUAGUUCCAAUUCUGCCUCUGCUGUUGUAACUUUCAGCACAUAACUUCACCUCUCCGAGCUUCUCUGAGCUGCUGUUUUCUGUUCUGUAAAAUGGGAAUAACACCACAGAAUACCGUUAUCAGGAUCAAACAAGAUGGCGUACUUAGAUGUGCACCAUGCCUUGUUGACAUUAACGUGUGAGAUCCUUUCUCUCAGACCAACCUGAUUGCUUUGGGAACUACAAGGCUUGGUGCCCACUUGUUAAUGAUGUUCAUUUUCUCCACAAGACCUGCUCUGACCUCCAGAACCCUGUGGAAGGUCUCUUCCAGACUCUCCACCUUAUCACCUGCCAGGCUCAUAUCCUGUUUGCUGAGUGAGCUUUCUGUCUGAAUCUGCAUUUUACUUCCUCAGCUAGACUGGCCUCUCUUUCACAGCCUCUCUUUCAUAUCUGGUUUAUGUUUCAUUUUCGAAUCCUAGCACAAUGCCUCUUUGCACAUAGCACUGCUCAAAAAAUAGGGAUUGGCUGAUAUUUCGCCUACUUUUGUCUCCUCAACAUUGCCCCAGGGUCAUGAGCUGAACUCAGACUACUACAUAAGGCGUUACUACAAAGUAACAACAUGUUUAUUCCUUUAUCUGUUUAUCUAGCAGCCCAACCAUGACUCACACAUCCAAAUGAGGCUGCUGCCUUAUAAGGAGGCACUUUGAAGGCUAUUAUUCCAAGGAGCCUGCCACCUCCCGAAGCAUUUUUAGAACUCCUGCUUUGAAUCACUACCAGUGUCAAGAUGGUGAAUCCUCACACCUCCUGGGAGCAGUUAUUUUUGGAAACAAUGAAAGUCAGGUUGGCCAAGUUUGGUAAGUAUGGUCCUUCAGGGGGUGGGUGGGUGUGGAGAAGGAGGCAACCUGGGCAUUUCUAAUGUGUCAAGCACUUUGCAUUCAUUCUUAUUUUAUUCUUAAUAACAUUUCUGUGAGGCAGGUGUUAUUAUUACCUCCAUUUUACAGACAAGGAGUCUGAGGCAUAAAGGGCACAUUCUCUAUACAGGAAUAUCAUGGCUUCCCCCCUCCCUGCCCCCAUUACUAAGCUAGCAUUAGGAGGCCAGGAAGCAGGCAGGACAGACAUACUUAAGUGACCUUUCUGCACCCAGGCAGAGAUGAGGAACAGGGGCGUCUUAUCUAAAGACAACAAAGCCAAGAACAGUGACAUUUGAACUGGUGGGGGUGGGGAAGUUAAGGGCAAUGCAGAAACCCUGGAGGAGAGGGGAAAUGGGUCCAUGCAAGCACCUGUAGGGCAUCUCUGGGAGAGAUCAGACAAGAGGGGACAGGACUGACUGGUCCAGGACUGGAGACUCAUGAGCAGGGGAAGGAUGGUCACCAGAAUUCCUAGCUCAAGGAAUUCCCUUUGUGCCUCUCUUUUUCACUUUUUUUUUUUUAAUUUUUUUUUUUCAACGUUUAUUUAUUUUUGGGACAGAGAGAGACAGAGCAUGAACGGGGGAGGGGCAGAGAGAGAGGGAGACACAGAAUCGGAAACAGGCUCCAGGCUCUGAGCAGUCAGCACAGAGCCCGACGCGGGGCUCGAACUCACGGACCGCGAGAUCGUGACCUGGCUGAAGUCGGACGCUUAACCGACUGCGCCACCCAGGCGCCCCUCUCUUUUUCACUUUUUAAACAUGGUGUUCAUGUUUGCUGACUGAAAGAAGGGCUCGAGUUCAUUGUGGAAAACUUGGAAAAUACAGAGGAGUAUAAAGAAGAUAAAAAUGAUCUGUAGGUGACCCCUCCUCCCCAAGAUCUCAGGCUUUGGUAAGACACAGCCAUUGAGCCCAUCAGCGCACACGAGGUUAUUUAUAAGCUCCUGGCUUCUCACCCACCCACUCCCCUCUCUGCUUGGGCUUGGGAGGCCUGGGGCCAGGACAUUCCCUUGCAGCCUACACAGGCUGCUAUAUAAAGUCCUGCUCUUCCAGGGGCUGGAUCAGGACGUUCCUUAUCUCUUUGCAGCAGGGUUCUGAUAAUGCGCCCAGUUGGCUGGCACUCUGAGCCGAGCCUGGGCUCUGGCUGCUGCUACUGGGGCCUCCAGCCCCCCCAUGGUUGUCUGUGCUGGUUCCCGCUGAGACUUGGCCAAAGACACUAACUGAAACCUUCAAUGUAGCAAGUUGUUUGCUCGUUGCAUUAAAGGGCAGUUGCCAGACAGCUGAGUUGAACUGGAUGGGUUUGGCAUGAGUGACGGGUGUGUCCAGCACAUGCAAGAUCCAUGGUCAGUGUCCCCCUCCUGAAGCAGCUGUGCCUAACCCCCACUCUCCCAGCCCCCGCCCUGAUUUCCCUCUCCUUCCUCUUCAUUAGUGCUUGGCUCAGAAUUUUCUUCUUCCAUAUGGCUUCUGCAGGCAAAGGCCUUCUGUGGCUGGUGGCCUGCCUGUCUCUGUUCCAGAAUUCCGGGCUGGACUUCUCCUCCCUAAUCGAUGGUGGACCAUAGCAAACGUCCUCUCUCUGUCUGGAAAAUAAGUUUUGCCAAAGGAAGUAGAACCAUCUUAUUGCUACAAGUUGGGGCAGAGGGGAGUCAAGAGAGACAUCCUGAAAAAAAUGCAUAGGCUUUUGCAUUUGCAUUUGCAUAGAAGGUGGAGGAGGGACUGCAAAGUAUUCCCCAAACUGAGAAGGCACUUUGAGACUGAAAACACGAAAGGAGGCCACGCCAUACAGUUGAUAUAGACUUUUAUUCAGGGUAACUUACUGAUGGGGGUGGGGGGGCCGGGGAAUCAGGCAGAUGGUGAUCCGGCUGCAGAGUUAUUCUCUGCGAAAUCUGGACCUUAAUCUACAGAUUUCAUAGAACGAGGGAAUGUGCCGAAGGACACUGUAGUGAGACCAAAGGGUUUGCAUGCACCUAAUUGACAUCUAACAUUUAAUUAGAUCUCACGGCACCACCUGUGUAUCAAGAAAGGGAGAGAUACGUUACCUUGAGCAAACUUACAGAGGGCCAAGCUAGCCUCCCUCCAUCUCAGCCUUGGUAGGCAUUUUAAGGCAUGUAUAUUAAUCUCCU
rnacentral:lncRNA from 1 species